rnacentral:rRNA from 1 species
UACGUAGGGCGCAAGCGUUGUCCGGAAUUAUUGGGCGUAAAGAGCUCGUAGGCGGUCUGUCGCGUCGGAUGUGAAAGCCGGGGCUUAACCCCGGGUCUGCAUUCGAUACGGGCAGACUAGAGUGUGGUAGGGGAGAUUGGAAUUCCUGGUGUAGCGGUGAAAUGCGCAGAUAUCAGGAGGAACACCGGUGGCGAAGGCGGAUCUCUGGGACGGUACUGACGCUGAGACGCGAAAGCGUGGGGAGCGAACAGG